rnacentral:rRNA from 1 species
AUUGAACGCUGGCGGCAGGCCUAACACAUGCAAGUCGAACGGUAACAGGAAGCAGCUUGCUGCUUCGCUGACGAGUGGCGGACGGGUGAGUAAUGUCUGGGAAGCUGCCUGAUGGAGGGGGAUAACUACUGGAAACGGUAGCUAAUACCGCAUAAUGUCGCAAGACCAAAGAGGGGGACCUUCGGGCCUCUUGCCAUCGGAUGUGCCCAGAUGGGAUUAGCUUGUUGGUGGGGUAACGGCUCACCAAGGCGACGAUCCCUAGCUGGUCUGAGAGGAUGACCAGCCACACUGGAACUGAGACACGGUCCAGACUCCUACGGGAGGCAGCAGUGGGGAAUAUUGCACAAUGGGCGCAAGCCCGAUGCAGCCAUGCCGCGUGUAUGAAGAAGGCCUUCGGGUUGUAAAGUACUUUCAGCGGGGAGGAAGGGAGUAAAGUUAAUACCUUUGCUCAUUGACGUUACCCGCAGAAGAAGCACCGGCUAACUCCGU